UUUAAGGCUUGUCCGAUUUCUUUAUACGGCAAAUGGAAAAGAAAUUUACUUGUCCCACCACACAAGUUAAAAGUGACAAAAAAAAUCCUCACAAUGUUUCAUCUGCUCUGCACCUCUACUGUGCGCACUGAAAAAGAGGGAUGAUGCAUCACAGACAGACAAAGUCUGUGACGAGAUGUCAAGAGGCAGAUAUUCACAUUUUAUUACAUAAUGAAAAGGUCCAAACCUUCAGAUGCACAAGAAAGAAAACGGAGAAAAGAGGAGGAGGAAAAGAAAGUCCAAUAUAGAGGUAUGUCGUCUAAUGUUAACAUAGCUAGCUAAGUAGCAAUAAAGCUAAUGCUAGAUAAUGAUGCUACGAUAGCUGCUGGACUCACAUAUCGUUACAGAUUGAAGGAUAUGAGACUGAAUGACAAGCCAGUAGCGAGCUAUCUGGAUAACUGCUCCUUCCUACAACAUGCACUCAGGAAAUAUCUGCAGAAGCCUCCAGCUGCUGGAGAAGUUACAUCUGAUCUCCCAUCUACACCACUCUCUGAAGCAGAUUUGCCUGCAGGUGAAGCAACAACAGACACAACAGACACUUCUACUACUCUACAGCCUGCAGACACCAUCAACUGGAACAGAU